UCCCAGGAGGCUGAAUGGUAAGGAACCUGCCUGCCAAGCAGGAGACGUGGGUUCAGUCCCUGGAUUGGGAA
rnacentral:tRNA from 1 species